rnacentral:rRNA from 1 species
AGGGCACCACCAGGAGUGGAGCCUGCGGCUUAAUUUGACUCAACACGGGGAAACUCACCCGGCCCGGACACCGGAAGGAUUGACAGAUUGAUAGCUCUUUCCUGAUUCGGUGGAUGGUGGUGCAUGGCCGUUCUUAGUUGGUGGAGCGAUCUGUCUGGUUAAUUCCGAUAACGAACGAGACUCUAGCCUAUUAAAUAGACGUCGGGUUCUCUGCACUCGACGGUCUUCUUAGAGGGACAAGGUGCUUUUAGCACCGCGAAACAGAGCAAUAACAGGUCUGUGAUGCCCUUAGAUGUCCGGGGCCGCACGCGCGCUACACUGAAGGAAGCAGCGUGUAACAACCUUGUUCUAACGAACUGGGUAACCCGUGGAACUUCCUUCAUGAUUGGGAUAGGGGUUUGCAAUUGUGCCCCUUGAACGAGGAAUUCCCAGUAAACACUAGUCAUCAGCUAGUGCUGAUUACGUCCCUGCCCUUUGUACACACCGCCCGUCGCUACUACCGAUUGAAUGGUUUAGUGA